AAACUUGCUCAGCCAGCCCCCUGGCUACCUCUUUGGGGUGGGCCCCCUCCCCACUCUACCUUCCCCUUGGGCUCUGUCAGCUCAGCCCUUGCCUCCUGCUGAGCCCCCUGAUGCCCAGUGCAGCCCCACCCAGCAAGCUAUGUCCCUCCUUCUGUCCCUGUGGCACCGCCCUGGGUCCCCUCUCCUGCCUGUCCCUGGUGUUGCUCCCCCAGGCAGCAGCGGGUCUCAGAGGCUCUAACUUAGAAACUAGAGAGCACAACUGCCUGGAGCCCACAGGCUCCUCCGCUCUGCUCCUGCCGCAGUUUUGCUUUCUCUUUCUCUUUCUCUUUCAGCCGAGGACAGCAAUGGCAGCAAGUCCUGGUAUGGAGGUCCGUCCUGGUCGUGGGGAUCCUGGGCAGGUGGCCAAGCUCUGAGCUUCCUGAGGAGGGACAUGAAGCCUCCAUGGAGAUGGAGGCCUCCUCUCUGGAAACUGGCCCCCAAAGCUGAGGCUCUGAGGCUGGCACUGUACCUCCUCCUCCUGGGACCCCGCAGCACUGCUCUGCCCACGUGCACAGAGGAGGAGUACCCUGUGGGUGCCCAGUGCUGUCCCAAGUGCAGCCCAGGUUAUCACGUGAAGUACACCUGCGGGGAGCUGACAGGCACAGUAUGUGUCCCCUGCCACCCAGGGACCUACACCACCCACCACAAUGGCCUGAGCGAGUGUCUGCAGUGCCGAGUCUGUGAGCCAGCCAUGGGCCUGGUCACCAGGAGGAACUGCUCCAGCACAGAGAACACCGUGUGCGGCUGCAGCCAAGGCCACUUCUGUGACGUACGGGAUGGGGACCACUGCAUCGUGUGCCGGCCCCUCACCGUCUGCCGGCCUGGCCAGAGGGUGCUGGAGAGAGGCACCGAGAGCCAGGACACCAUGUGUCAGGACUGCCCACCAGGGACCUUCUCUCUCAACGGGACCCAGGAAGAAUGCCAGCCCUGGACCAGCUCCCAGCUCCUACCAGGUGUGAUGGUGCUCUUGAGACAGAAGCAAAACCUGGGACCAGCAGCACAGAUGUCACCUGCUCUGACAGAAGUCCGUUCCUUUCUUUCAUCAUCGUCAUUCCCAUUGUUUUCAUACUUCGCAUAGUCUGUUUACACUGGAAACGAAGAAGGUCACCAGGUGACGUGGAAGCCUCUUUCCAGGAUGUCACCACAGUGGCUGUGGAAGAGACAGCACCUGCGAUCCCAAGGAGGGACCCUAACCGCUGAUCAACAGGCUCUGGGACCAGACUUCUGGGGCAUCUCAGGCAAUGCCUCCUGAAAGCUGCCUCCACCUGGGGGCCUGGGCAGCUUGGUGGGACCUGUGCUGAGCUGGCUUCAGCUCCCACCAGCAGAGGAAGAGAUGGGAGUCACUCUCAUGGGCUGGUGAGAAGCCACUUGAAAUCCUCAUCAGGCAAAUGGGGGCCCAGAAGGGUCCCCUCUGCCCAGGAACCCAGCCUUGUGGGGAGAAGUGACAGCUCUUCUUGGCUCCAGGACUCCUGCUUCCUAGCCCUCCCAGCAAGCCCAGAAUGGCCCUGGCACAACCCAGCUCUCCGUCUUUGCUGAAUCCUUGUGAACUCAGCUUGCUUAUCUGGAGGAUGGGCCUGUGGGCACUACCUCAGGGGCUAUGACUGGACAGGCUGAGCCUUGAAAGUGACAAUAAAUUUUGUACUAAUUCUCUAAGUUGGA